rnacentral:snRNA from 1 species
GAGUCUGACAUGUGUGCGA